AAUGAACGCUGGCGGCAGGCCUAAUACAUGCAAGUCGAACGAGUGGCGGAUGGGUGAGUAAUGCUUGGGAAUCUAGCUUAUGGAGGGGGAUAACUACGGGAAACUGUAGCUAAUACCGCAUACUACAGGUUGAUCGCUAGUGGGUUGAGGUAGUGGGUGAGGUAUAGGCUCACCAAGCCUACGAUCUCUAGCUGCUCAGAGAGGGUGACCUGCCACACUGGAACUGAGACACGGCCCGGACUCCUACGGGAGGCAGCGGUGGGGAAUAUUGCGCAGUGGGGGCAACCUACCGCAGCAAUGCCGCGUGGAUGAGGAAGGCCUUCGGGUUGUAAGGUUCUUUCGGUAGCGAGGCGUUAACUACAGAGAAAGCGCCGGCUAACUCCGUGCCAGCAGCCGCGGUAAUAC
rnacentral:rRNA from 1 species